ensembl:lncRNA
CUGGAAAGAGGGAUUAAUCACGAUUCAUCCGUUGGAGUUAAGAGCAGCGGCGUAAAAGACGUCCUCGCUGUACCUGGGUCCAUCAGGUCCUCCAGAGGCGUGAGCAGUUUGGUGAGUUUCACCAUUUGCUCCAGGAGCCAGUUUGAGGACCUGCUUUCCCUCGUCGGUCCCAGCAUCGCCCGCCUAGACACCAACUACAGGCGCUCAAUCCCACCUGCAGAGCGCCUGUCCGUCUGCCUGAGGAUUUCAACGUGAUGGAAGCUGAAGAGCUUGAGAGGAUGGAUUUGGCGUGUUUAUAAAAUAAUCCAUGAAGGAGCACAGCCUGAUGACUCCCUUGAAGAUGUUGGCAUCAUUAUCGAGAGAUGCACCGUCUUGCAGGAUCUUCACGAUGUGGCGAGCGGGUGUGCACUUUUGUUUGGGCUAAUUUACUGCCUCAAUCUGAGUUACCCAAAGCCACUUCGCUACACAUUUGAGUUCUUCCAGAAGGUGCUCAUGGGACUGGAAGACAAAAAACUGUCUAACAAAAUACAAGUGCUGAAGAACAAACUCUGCCAAAAGGAGACGCAAUGACUCUUUCUUUUUUUUUUUGUAUUUACACUUCAUAUUAGUUCUGGUGUACCAGGUUUCCAUUGUAGGUCAAGGAUCUUGAGUGUUAUAAAUGUUAAAGUGUAUGUGCAAACAAAUGUGAAAAGGUUCUAAGGUUGUCACCUGUACUCAAGUUAAGUACUGGAUUUUUGGUCUUAGCAUUUAAUUAAGAAUAUUUUGAGAUUUUUGAUGCAUUUUUUUUAUUGUAAAAUGUAUUAUAUAAUAGAAAACUUAUAAUUCUGAAUCAGAUUUUUGUAACUGGGGACUAAAUCGUUUUUACCUUUUUG